rnacentral:rRNA from 1 species
UCCGUAGGUGAACCUGCGGAAGGAUCAUUACCGAGUUAGGGUCCAUCAAGGGCCCGACCUCCCAACCCUUUGCUUAUUAUGCCUUGUGUUGCUUCGGUAGGUCUGGCUCGUCCUACCGGAGGACCGUAAAACGUCCUCUGGAGAGUGCCUACCGAUAGCCCAAACCAAAAACUCUUGAACAAAACAUGUCUUGUCUGAGUAAACAAAAAAAAUUAAAGCAAAACUUUCAACAACGGAUCUCUUGGUUCUCGCAUCGAUGAAGAACGCAGCGAGAUGCGAUAAGUAAUAUGAAUUGCAGAUAUUCGUGAAUCAUCGAAUCUUUGAACGCACAUUGCGCCCUCUGGUUUUCCAAAGGGCAUGCCUGUUUGGGCGUCAUUUCCCCCUCAAACCUUCGGGUUUGGCGUUGAGCGAUACGCUGGGUUUGCUUGAAAGAAAGGCGGAGUAUAAACUAAUGGAUAGGUUUUUUUUUUCCACUCAUAGGUACAAACUCCAAACAUUCUUCCAAAUUCGACCUCAAAUCAGGUAGGACUACCCGCUGAACUUAAGCAUAUCAAUAAGCGGAGGA